GGUUAAGCGACUAAGCGUACACGGUGGAUGCCCUGGCAGUCAGAGGCGAUGAAGGACGUGCUAAUCUGCGAUAAGCGUCGGUAAGGUGAUAUGAACCGUUAUAACCGGCGAUUUCCGAAUGGGGAAACCCAGUGUGAUUCGUCACACUAUCAUUAACUGAAUCCAUAGGUUAAUGAGGCGAACCGGGGGAACUGAAACAUCUAAGUACCCCGAGGAAAAGAAAUCAACCGAGAUUCCCCCAGUAGCGGCGAGCGAACGGGGAGCAGCCCAGAGCCUGAAUCAGUGUGUGUGUUAGUGGAAGCGUCUGGAAAGGCGCGCGAUACAGGGUGACAGCCCCGUACACAAAAAUGCACAUGCUGUGAGCUCGAUGAGUAGGGCGGGACACGUGGUAUCCUGUCUGAAUAUGGGGGGACCAUCCUCCAAGGCUAAAUACUCCUGACUGACCGAUAGUGAACCAGUACCGUGAGGGAAAGGCGAAAAGAACCCCGGCGAGGGGAGUGAAAAAGAACCUGAAACCGUGUACGUACAAGCAGUGGGAGCACAGAGCAAUCUGUGUGACUGCGUACCUUUUGUAUAAUGGGUCAGCGACUUAUAUUCUGUAGCAAGGUUAACCGAAUAGGGGAGCCGAAGGGAAACCGAGUCUUAACUGGGCGUUAAGUUGCAGGGUAUAGACCCGAAACCCGGUGAUCUAGCCAUGGGCAGGUUGAAGGUUGGGUAACACUAACUGGAGGACCGAACCGACUAAUGUUGAAAAAUUAGCGGAUGACUUGUGGCUGGGGGUGAAAGGCCAAUCAAACCGGGAGAUAGCUGGUUCUCCCCGAAAGCUAUUUAGGUAGCGCCUCGUGAAUUCAUCUCCGGGGGUAGAGCACUGUUUCGGCAAGGGGGUCAUCCCGACUUACCAACCCGAUGCAAACUGCGAAUACCGGAGAAUGUUAUCACGGGAGACACACGGCGGGUGCUAACGUCCGUCGUGAAGAGGGAAACAACCCAGACCGCCAGCUAAGGUCCCAAAGUCAUGGUUAAGUGGGAAACGAUGUGGGAAGGCCCAGACAGCCAGGAUGUUGGCUUAGAAGCAGCCAUCAUUUAAAGAAAGCGUAAUAGCUCACUGGUCGAGUCGGCCUGCGCGGAAGAUGUAACGGGGCUAAACCAUGCACCGAAGCUGCGGCAGCGACGCUUAUGCGUUGUUGGGUAGGGGAGCGUUCUGUAAGCCUGCGAAGGUGUGCUGUGAGGCAUGCUGGAGGUAUCAGAAGUGCGAAUGCUGACAUAAGUAACGAUAAAGCGGGUGAAAAGCCCGCUCGCCGGAAGACCAAGGGUUCCUGUCCAACGUUAAUCGGGGCAGGGUGAGUCGACCCCUAAGGCGAGGCCGAAAGGCGUAGUCGAUGGGAAACAGGUUAAUAUUCCUGUACUUGGUGUUACUGCGAAGGGGGGACGGAGAAGGCUAUGUUGGCCGGGCGACGGUUGUCCCGGUUUAAGCGUGUAGGCUGGUUUUCCAGGCAAAUCCGGAAAAUCAAGGCUGAGGCGUGAUGACGAGGCACUACGGUGCUGAAGCAACAAAUGCCCUGCUUCCAGGAAAAGCCUCUAAGCAUCAGGUAACAUCAAAUCGUACCCCAAACCGACACAGGUGGUCAGGUAGAGAAUACCAAGGCGCUUGAGAGAACUCGGGUGAAGGAACUAGGCAAAAUGGUGCCGUAACUUCGGGAGAAGGCACGCUGAUAUGUAGGUGAAGCGACUUGCUCGUGGAGCUGAAAUCAGUCGAAGAUACCAGCUGGCUGCAACUGUUUAUUAAAAACACAGCACUGUGCAAACACGAAAGUGGACGUAUACGGUGUGACGCCUGCCCGGUGCCGGAAGGUUAAUUGAUGGGGUUAGCGCAAGCGAAGCUCUUGAUCGAAGCCCCGGUAAACGGCGGCCGUAACUAUAACGGUCCUAAGGUAGCGAAAUUCCUUGUCGGGUAAGUUCCGACCUGCACGAAUGGCGUAAUGAUGGCCAGGCUGUCUCCACCCGAGACUCAGUGAAAUUGAACUCGCUGUGAAGAUGCAGUGUACCCGCGGCAAGACGGAAAGACCCCGUGAACCUUUACUAUAGCUUGACACUGAACAUUGAGCCUUGAUGUGUAGGAUAGGUGGGAGGCUUUGAAGUGUGGACGCCAGUCUGCAUGGAGCCGACCUUGAAAUACCACCCUUUAAUGUUUGAUGUUCUAACGUUGACCCGUAAUCCGGGUUGCGGACAGUGUCUGGUGGGUAGUUUGACUGGGGCGGUCUCCUCCUAAAGAGUAACGGAGGAGCACGAAGGUUGGCUAAUCCUGGUCGGACAUCAGGAGGUUAGUGCAAUGGCAUAAGCCAGCUUGACUGCGAGCGUGACGGCGCGAGCAGGUGCGAAAGCAGGUCAUAGUGAUCCGGUGGUUCUGAAUGGAAGGGCCAUCGCUCAACGGAUAAAAGGUACUCCGGGGAUAACAGGCUGAUACCGCCCAAGAGUUCAUAUCGACGGCGGUGUUUGGCACCUCGAUGUCGGCUCAUCACAUCCUGGGGCUGAAGUAGGUCCCAAGGGUAUGGCUGUUCGCCAUUUAAAGUGGUACGCGAGCUGGGUUUAGAACGUCGUGAGACAGUUCGGUCCCUAUCUGCCGUGGGCGCUGGAGAAUUGAGGGGGGCUGCUCCUAGUACGAGAGGACCGGAGUGGACGCAUCACUGGUGUUCGGGUUGUCAUGCCAAUGGCACUGCCCGGUAGCUAAAUGCGGAAGAGAUAAGUGCUGAAAGCAUCUAAGCACGAAACUUGCCCCGAGAUGAGUUCUCCCUGACUCCUUGAGAGUCCUGAAGGAACGUUGAAGACGACGACGUUGAUAGGCCGGGUGUGUAAGCGCAGCGAUGCGUUGAGCUAACCAGUACUAAUGAACCGUGAGGCUUAACCUU
rnacentral:rRNA from 1 species